rnacentral:rRNA from 1 species
CCUACGGGAGGCAGCAGUGGGGAAUAUUGGACAAUGGGCGAAAGCCUGAUCCAGCAAUGCCGCGUGAGUGAUGAAGGCCUUAGGGUUGUAAAGCUCUUUUACCCGGGAUGAUAAUGACAGUACCGGGAGAAUAAGCUCCGGCUAACUCCGUGCCAGCAGCCGCGGUAAUACGGAGGGAGCUAGCGUUAUUCGGAAUUACUGGGCGUAAAGCGCACGUAGGCGGCUUUGUAAGUAAGAGGUGAAAGCCUGGUGCUCAACACCAGAACUGCCUUUUAAGACUGC